AGGCCUAACACAUGCAAGUCGAGCGGUAGAGAGGUGCUUGCAUCUCUUGAGAGCGGCGGACGGGUGAGUAAUGCCUAGGAAUCUGCCUAGUGGUGGGGGAUAACGUUCGGAAACGGACGCUAAUACCGCAUACGUCCUACGGGAGAAAGCGGGGGAUCUUCGGACCUCGCGCCAUUAGAUGAGCCUAGGUCGGAUUAGCUAGUUGGUGAGGUAAUGGCUCACCAAGGCGACGAUCCGUAACUGGUCUGAGAGGAUGAUCAGUCACACUGGAACUGAGACACGGUCCAGACUCCUACGGGAGGCAGCAGUGGGGAAUAUUGGACAAUGGGCGAAAGCCUGAUCCAGCCAUGCCGCGUGUGUGAAGAAGGUCUUCAGAUUGUAAAGCACUUUAAGUUGGGAGGAAGGGCAGUAAGUUAAUACGUUGCUACUUUGACGUUACCGACAGAAUAAGCACCGGCUAACUUCGUG
rnacentral:rRNA from 1 species